rnacentral:rRNA from 1 species
GAACGCUGGCGGCAUGCCUAACACAUGCAAGUCGAACGAGCCCUUCGGGUCUAGUGGCGCACGGGUGCGUAACGCGUGGGAACCUGCCCUUAGGUUCGGAAUAACUCCCCGAAAGGGGUGCUAAUACCGGAUAAUGUCUUCGGACCAAAGAUUUAUCGCCUUUGGAUGGUCCCGCGUUGGAUUAGCUAGUUGGUAGGGUAAAAGCCUACCAAGGCGACGAUCCAUAGCUGGUCUGAGAGGAUGAUCAGCCACACUGGGACUGAGACACGGCCCAGACUCCUACGGGAGGCAGCAGUGGGGAAUAUUGGACAAUGGGCGAGAGCCUAAUCCAGCAAUGCCGCGUGAGUGAUGAAGGCCUUAGAGUUGUAAAGCUCUUUUACCCGGGAUGAUAAUGACAGUACCGGGAGAAUAAGCACCGGCUAACUCCGUG